GACGAACGCUGGCGGCGUGCCUAAUACAUGCAAGUAGAACGAAGUUGCGAACGGGUGAGUAACGCGUAGGUAAAUGCCCCAUAGCGGGGGAUAAACAUUGGAAACGAUAGCUAAUACCGCAUACUGUGAGAUGGACCUGAGUUGUAUUAGCUAGUUGGAGCGGUAAAGGCUCAACAAGGCGACGAUACAUAGCCGACCUGAGAGGGUGAACGUGCACACUGGGACUGGGGCACGGCCCAGACUCCUACGGGAGGCAGCAGUAGGGAAUCUUCGGAAAGGGGCUGAAGUCUGACCGAGCAACGCCGGGUGAGUGGAGAAGGUUGUCGGAUCGUAAAGCUCUGUUGUUAGAGAAGCGGUAACUGACCAGAAAGGGACGGCUAACUACGUGCCAGCAGCCGCGGUAAUUC
rnacentral:rRNA from 1 species